GGUCCAACCGGUUCCUCGCCCUGGAGCAAGCCCAAUCACGCAUUCACCCUAACUCAAACCCCGAUUCCAUCUCUCCCUCGGUCCCUCCAUCCUCCAGGCCUCCGUCGCCGCCGGCCACCAAGGCACCAACCACCUCCUCGGAAGCAGAGCCUCGAAGGCAGCGCUGCCUCGCCGAUGCAAGCGGCCCGUCAUCGCCCACGGGGCGCUCUUCCUCGUGCUCUCCCUUGCGGGCCUGGCCGGUUCCCUCGACCACACAUCUUGUCUCCUCACCAACCACGACGCCGGCCACCUGCUCCGUCGUCUCCGGCAGAGGGUACUCCACCUAGCUGCAGCACUCAUGCGCUUGCCCCCGCCCUCGAGUUCGUCGACGGUGCUGUCCUCCAGCCGCAGCCGCCGUAGAUCAAAGUACAGGCUGACUACUACUGCCAUGAGGACUCGGUGACAUCCAUCAUCGGCAGAUGACGUAACGCAAUCCCUGCUUGGAAUCAAUUAUCACCCUUAAUUCAGCUCCGUUUGUUAUUACCUCUGUACUUCAAGUGUUGGUUGUGCAGAAUAUGUAAGUUGUCAAGUGUAAUAUUUGUGCUGCAAAAUCUGUGUUUGGCACUAGUACAUGUUAUGAACUAUCAAGUGUUCAUCAAUUUAAGUAUUGGUAGUGCAGAAUAUGUAAGCUGUUAUUAA